GACGAAGGGGGCUAGCGUUGUUCGGAAUUACUGGGCGUAAAGCGCGUGUAGGCGGUUGUCCAAGUCGGGUGUGAAAGCCUUGAGCUCAACUCAAGAAAUGCACUCGAUACUGGGCGACUUGAGGACCGGAGAGGAUAGUGGAAUUCCCAGUGUAGUGGUGAAAUACGUAGAGAUUGGGAAGAACACCAGUGGCGAAGGCGGCUAUCUGGACGGUUACUGACGCUAAGACGCGAAAGCGUGGGGAGCAAACAGGAUUAGAUACCCUGGUAGUCCACGCCGUAAACGAUGGGUGCUAGACGUUGGCGGGCUUGCUCGUCAGUGUCGCAGCUAACGCGUUAAGCACCCCGCCUGGGGAGUACGGCCGCAAGGUUGAA
rnacentral:rRNA from 1 species